CACAUACAGAGACUAACACACAGACAUGUAUAUACUCAUUAUUGCUGUUCAAAUUGAUGGUCAAAUUUCCAAGCACCACCUGAACGCCUCAUCUGUUUUCAACCCAUCACUGGACCAACUGUCGUCAUUCCGCUUUGCUCUCUGCUGUGGAACUUGACUGACACCUGUGCUUUGCCUGUGUGCAGAAGAAGAACAAGGACCAGAUCUCCAG